rnacentral:rRNA from 1 species
GGCGGCGUGCCUAACACAUGCAAGUCGCACGAGAAAUCCCGGGCAACUGGGAGAGUACAGUGGCGCACGGGUGAGUAACGCGUGGGUAACCUACCCUUGAGUUGGGGAUAACUCCGCGAAAGCGGGGCUAAUACCGAAUGAUAUGCCGAUGUCUUUGGGCGUUGGCAUCAAAGAUGGCCUCUGCAUGCAAGCUAUCGCUUAAGGAUGGGCCCGCGUACCAUUAGCUUGUUGGUAGGGUAAUGGCCUACCAAGGCAACGAUGGUUAGCUGGUCUGAGAGGAUGGCCAGCCACACUGGAACUGAGACACGGUCCAGACUCCUACGGGAGGCAGCAGUGGGGAAUCUUGCGCAAUGGGGGAAACCCUGACGCAGCAACGCCGCGUGGGUGAUGAAGGCCUUCGGGUCGUAAAGCCCUGUCAGGUGGGAAGAAACUUGUUGAUGCCAAUACCAUCAGCACUUGACGGUACCACCGGAGGAAGCACCGGCUAACUCCGUGCCAGCAGCCGCGGUAA